GACGUAGGGUGCGAGCGUUGUCCGGAUUUAUUGGGCGUAAAGAGCUCGUAGGCGGCUCGUCGCGUCGACCGUGAAAACCCGCGGCUUAACUGCGGGCUUGCGGUUGAUACGGGCGGGCUAGAGUUCGGUAGGGGAGACUGGAAUUCCUGGUGUAGCGGUGAAAUGCGCAGAUAUCAGGAGGAACACCGGUGGCGAAGGCGGGUCUCUGGACCGAUACUGACGCUCAGGCACGAAAGCGUGGGGAGCAAACAGG
rnacentral:rRNA from 1 species